UGCCUGAGGAGUUGUUCAGGCUCUGGUGAUCAUGCCUGAUCUGAGAUGCAUUUAGGACAGCUGAAAGCAGCAGGCAGGGAGGUUUUCUGGGGCUGGGGAGAAGGGAUGUGUGGUGGGGAAGUACCCAGCAGUGGAGGUUGGAAAAGGAAGACUUUGAGCAGCGUGUUCUGGUCUGCACUACCGAGCACAAGUUUGGAGCUCUGCCUGCUCAAAAUCCUGUCGCUUCUGUUCCCUGAUAGAGCUCGGUCCCUGCUGGUCCCAGGUGACCCUGCUGUCAGCUGGCCCUGCAGAUGGCACAGAGCUCCAGAUGAUGACAGCCUGCUUUAUGG
rnacentral:lncRNA from 12 species